rnacentral:lncRNA from 10 species
AGACUUGCACCACCUACUGGCUCUUCACUGACCGGCUAACUGAUGCUCAAAUUCGACGUAUCGAAAGCAGAACUCACAGUGUGCCCUUACAGACAAAGUAUGGGCACUAUUUCAUCAGCGGGAAGAAAGAGAAGUAUGGUGCCCUAAUAUAAAUCCAUCAGUGUGCCCUUCCAGGAUUCCUCAAGGAAUGAACAUUUUCCAGGACAAUGCCAACUCCUGAAGAUCUUGCUCUAAGUGGUCAAAGGGUGAGCAUACUGCAGGCAACAAAAGAUCGAGCAUACUACAGGCAACCAAGGGUCAAGACAAAUUUACAGGAUCCCUCCCUACCGUGGCCACUACCCAGCUUCCCAGUAGUGCCUUCCUAAUUUGCUGCCCAUGGUAAUGGAGACAAAUACCUGCAGAAGAACAUAAUCAAAACUCAAAGGAAAGUAAGGAGGAGCAAGUUUUUUAAAAGGAAUACAGUUUGCAAUCCUCUUGUUACUAAUUCUUGUUGAUAAUUGAUUUUGUGCUUAAAUCUCACAAGAAUAAACAGUUUUUAGCAAUGCUUUAAAUUCUUAGCGUUUUCG